ACAACCGGGUAGCUGUGUUUGGGGGAGGCGCGGCUUCCGACCCUGGCACAUGGCGGGAGUACGCCGAUGGCCUGUUGGGCGUCAGAAAGUUCGAGCGGAGGAGCGCCAACGCGGUGCCGAUGGAAAGGUUUUUGUUAAUUUUUAAUUUUUUUCCCCUCUCUGCCCCAAUGGACGGUUGGAGGUUGAAAAGGGCACUGGAGGGAGCCCGCCUUGGCAGCUGCCCCAGCCGCGACAGGAGAAGAACAACCACAGGAUGAAUAGUAUGGAGACAGUGAAGAUAAGCUUACCUGAAUCUCUCAGCCAUUUCUUGUGGGAGACCAAGAGAAGUUCAAUUAUGAAAUGUGGAAAAAAGAAAUAGAUGUCUGCAAGGAGAUCUGCGGGACUCCCAAAAACAAUGCCUUUAGCACAAUUAAAUGACUGCUUGGACUGUUGUGAUUCUAUACCCAAGUUUAUGUUUUAAGGACAUUGUAUUUCUACCCCCCGUUUUACCCUAUUUUCCAAUUUUCAUAAAAAUCCCGAUUGUUCUGUAUUCCCUGUUAUUCCCCUUUUUCCUUAUUGGCUGCUCAGUGCUGCAUUGCAGCUUUUCCUUAAAUGGCUAUUCUUUUCCAUUUGCUAACCUGUUGUCUAUCUCCCCAUCAAUCUUACCAUCCAAGGAGAUGAGGCUACCUAGGUAAUUGAUGAUUAUUCCUUUCCAUUUAUGGUUAUGUCCAACCCCUAAUAUGUAUCCUAUUAGCAUGCUCCUCCCUAGCUCCACCUACCCUUCCAGCACCUUCCAUCCUUCCCUUAUGUAAGCCGGCGCUGCCUUUCAAUAAAGGGCCAUUUCACCCUCUAA